rnacentral:lncRNA from 1 species
GGAGCCCGGGUGGCUCACCCAGCUGCUGCAGCCUGCGGAGGGGAUGCGCGGAGCCGGGGGUGCCCGCACCAUGAAGUGGCUCGUCCUGGCCGUGCUGUGCCUCCAGCUCUCGGAGGGGGUGGUGAGGAUCCAGCUGAGGAAAUACAAGUCCGCACGGGAGUUGAUGAGGGAGGCGGGCGUGCUGAAGGACUACCUGAAGAAAAUGAAGCACUGACCCAGCCAGGAGAUACCACUUCGGUCGGAGCUACAUCGUGCACGAGCCCAUGGCCAGCCAUCUGGAUUCCUCCUUCUUCGGGGAGAUCAGCCUCGGGACCCCCCCGCAGAGCUUCCUGGUGCUCUUCGACACCGGCUCCUCCAACCUCUGGGUGCCCUCCACCCUGUGCCAGACGGCAGGCUUGCAAAAAUCACGCCACGUUCGACCCCAGCGCCUCCUCCACCUUCGUCAACAACGGCCGGACCUACACCCUGAGCUACGGCAGCGGCUCGCUGACGGUGCAGCUGGGCUACGACACGCUGAAGAUCCAGAACAUCAAGGUCAAACACCAGGAGUUUCGGGCUGAGCAAGAACGA